AUAGAUCCUGAAACCGCAUGCUUACAAAAAGUAGGAGCCUCGAAAGGGGUGACUGCGUACCUUUUGUAUAAUGGGUCAGCGACUUACAUUCAGUGGCAAGGUUAACCGAAUAGGGAAGCCGUAGAGAAAUCGAGUCCGAAUAGGGCGAUCAGUCGCUGGGUGUAGACCCGAAACCAAGUGAUCUAUCCAUGGGCAGGAUGAAGGUGCCGUAACAGGUACUGGAGGUCCGAACCGACUAAUGUUGCAAAAUUAGCGGAUGACCUGUGGAUAGGGGUGAAAGGCUAAACAAACUUGGAAAUAGCUGGUUCUCUCCGAAAACUAUUUAGGUAGUGCCUCAAGUAUUACCAUCGGGGGUAGAGCACUGUUUUGGCUAGGGGGUCAUGGCGACUUACCAAACCAAGGCAAACUCCGAAUACCGAUGAGUACAGCUUGGGAGACAGAGCACCGGGUGCUAACGUCCGGACUCAAGAGGGAAACAACCCAGACCGCCAGCUAAGGUCCCUAAAAUUGGCUAAGUGGGAAACGAAGUGGGAAGGCUAAAACAGUCAGGAUGUUGGCUUAGAAGCAGCCAUCAUUUAAAGAAAGCGUAAUAGCUCACUGAUCGAGUCGUCCUGCGCGGAAGAUGUAACGGGGCUAAGCCAGUUACCGAAGCUGCGGAUUUGCAAUUUAUUGCAAGUGGUAGGAGAGCGUUCUGUAGGCCUGUGAAGGUGGUGGUGUAAACCCUGCUGGAGGUAUCAGAAGUGCGAAUGCUGACAUGAGUAGCGUUAAAGGGGGUGAAAAGCCCCCUCGCCGUAAGCGCAAGGUUUUCUACGCAACGUUCAUCGGCGUAGAGUGAGUCGGCCCCUAAGGCGAGGCAGAGAUGCGUAGCUGAUGGGAAACAGGUCAAUAUUCCUGUACCGAUGACAAGUGCGAUGUGGGGACGGAGAAGGUUAGCUCAGCCAACUGUUGGAUAUGUUGGUUCAAGCCUGUAGUCGUGCUCGGUAGGCAAAUCCGCCGGGCUUAGAUGAGGGGUGAUAACGAGGGUGCUUGCACCUGAAGUGAGUGAUACCCUGCUUCCAGGAAAAGCCACUAAGCUUCAGCUUGUCAUUGACCGUACCGCAAACCGACACUGGUGCGCGAGAUGAGUAUUCUAAGGCGCUUGAGAGAACUCAGGAGAAGGAACUCGGCAAAUUGAUACCGUAACUUCGGGAGAAGGUAUGCCCCUAGUAGGUGAACUUGAACAAAGGGAGCCCAACGGGGUUGCAAAAAAUCGGUGGCUGCGACUGUUUAAUAAAAACACAGCACUCUGCAAACACGAAAGUGGACGUAUAGGGUGUGACGCCUGCCCGGUGCUGGAAGAUUAAAUGAUGGGGUGCAAGCUCUUGAUUGAAGUCCCAGUAAACGGCGGCCGUAACUAUAACGGUCCUAAGGUAGCGAAAUUCCUUGUCGGGUAAGUUCCGACCUGCACGAAUGGCGUAACGAUGGCCACACUGUCUCCUCCUGAGACUCAGCGAAGUUGAAAUGUUUGUGAUGAUGCAAUCUCCCCGCGGAAAGACGGAAAGACCCCAUGAACCUUUACUGUAGCUUUGUAUUGGACUUUGAACAGAUCUGUGUAGGAUAGGUGGGAGGCUUUGAAGCUGGAACGCUAGUUUCAGUGGAGCCGACGUUGAAAUACCACCCUGGUGUGUUUGAGGUUCUAACCUAGGUCCAUUAUCUGGAUCGGGGACAGUGCAUGGUAGGCAGUUUGACUGGGGCGGUCUCCUCCCAAAGCGUAACGGAGGAGUUCGAAGGUACGCUAGUUACGGUCGGACAUCGUGAUAAUAGUGCAAUGGCAUAAGCGUGCUUAACUGCGAGACUGACAAGUCGAGCAGAUACGAAAGUAGGACAUAGUGAUCCGGUGGUUCUGUAUGGAAGGGCCAUCGCUCAACGGAUAAAAGGUACUCUGGGGAUAACAGGCUGAUACCGCCCAAGAGUUCAUAUCGACGGCGGUGUUUGGCACCUCGAUGUCGGCUCAUCUCAUCCUGGGGCUGUAGCCGGUCCCAAGGGUAUGGCUGUUCGCCAUUUAAAGAGGUACGUGAGCUGGGUUUAAAACGUCGUGAGACAGUUUGGUCCCUAUCUUCCGUGGGCGCUG
rnacentral:rRNA from 1 species